UACGAAGGGGGCGAGCGUUGUUCGGAAUUACUGGGCGUAAAGGGCUCGUAGGCGGCCAACUAAGUCAGACGUGAAAUCCCCAGGCUCAACCUGGGAACUGCGUCUGAUACUGGAUGGCUUGAAUUCGGGAGAGGGAUGCAGAAUUCCAGGUGUAGCGGUGAAAUGCGUAGAUAUCUGGAGGAAUACCGGUGGCGAAGGCGGCAUCCUGGACCGACAUUGACGCUGAUGAGCGAAAGCUAGGGGAGCGAACAGG
rnacentral:rRNA from 1 species